AGUGAACGCUGGCGGUAGGCCUAACACAUGCAAGUCGAACGGCAGCACAGGAGAGCUUGCUCUCUAGGUGGCGAGUGGCGGACGGGUGAGGAAUACAUCGGAAUCUGCCCAGUCGUGGGGGAUAACGUAGGGAAACUUACGCUAAUACCGCAUACGACCUUCGGGUGAAAGAGGGGGAUCGCAAGACCUCCCGCGAUUGGAUGAGCCGAUGUCGGAUUAGCUAGUUAGCGGGGUAAUGGCCCACCAAGGCGACGAUCCGUAGCUGGUCUGAGAGGAUGAUCAGCCACACUGGAACUGAGACACGGUCCAGACUCCUACGGGAGGCAGCAGUGGGGAAUAUUGGACAAUGGGCGCAAGCCUGAUCCAGCCAUACCGCGUGGGUGAAGAAGGCCUUCGGGCUGUAAAGCCCUUUUGUUGGGAAAGAAAUCUUUCAGGCUAAUACCCUGGGAGGAUGACGGUACCCAAAGAAUAAGCACCGGCUAACUUCGUG
rnacentral:rRNA from 1 species